AACGAACGCUGGCGGCAUGCCUAACACAUGCAAGUCGAACGAAGUCUUCGGACUUAGUGGCGCACGGGUGCGUAACGCGUGGGAAUCUGCCCUUGGGUGCGGAAUAACUUCUCGAAAGGAUGCUAAAUACCGCAUAAUGUCGUAAGACCAAAGAUUUAUCGCCCAAGGAUGAGCCCGCGUAAGAUUAGCUAGUUGGUGGGGUAAAAGCCUACCAAGGCGACGAUCUUUAGCUGGUCUGAGAGGAUGAUCAGCCACACUGGGACUGAGACACGGCCCAGACUCCUACGGGAGGCAACAGUGGGGAAUAUUGGACAAUGGGCAAAGCCUGAUCCAGCAAUGCCGCGUGAGUGAUGAAGGCCCUAGGGUUGUAAAGCUCUUUUACCAGGGAUGGAUAAUGACAGUACCUGGAGAAUAAG
rnacentral:rRNA from 1 species